rnacentral:rRNA from 1 species
CUACGGGAGGCAGCAGUAAGGAAUAUUGGACAAUGGGCGAAAGCCUGAUCCAGCCAUGCCGCGUGAUAGAUGAAGGCCCUCUGGGUUGUAAAUAUCUUUUAUCUGGGAAGAAACUCCUCUAUUCUUAGAGGCCUGACGGUACCAGAGGAAUAAGCACCGGCUAACUCCGUGCCAGCAGCCGCGGUAAUACGGAGGGUGCAAGCGUUAUCCGGAUUCACUGGGUUUAAAGGGUGCGUAGGUGGUUUUGUAAGUCAGUGGUGAAAUGUCUCGGCUUAACCGGGAAACUGCCAUUGAUACUGCUUAACUUGAAUCAAGUAGAGGUGGAUGGAAUAUUACAUGUAGCGGUGAAAUGCUUAGAUAUGUAAUAGAACACCAAUUGCGAAGGCAGUUCACUAUGCUUGUAUUGACACUGAGGCACGAAAGCGUGGGGAUCAAACAGGAUUAGAUACCCUUGUAGUCC